rnacentral:lncRNA from 1 species
AUAUAUAGAGAGAGAGAGAGAGAGAGAGAGAGAGAGAACUAGGCUAGAAUACUAUCAAUAGCACCAAUGACUUGAUACUAUUAAGUUUUUCGUUAUUGGAUUAAAAUAUGUGCGGUUAGGAUGAUGUGGGCCCCCUAGGGUUGAGUAGGUGAUUGGUUGAAUAGUAUAAUCAAACAGAUGAAAAUGAUAAAAGAGGUAAAUCUAAUGGUAGAAAAUUUGAUAACACCAAAUAGUUCGUGCUAUCGAUAGUAUUCCAGUCGGACUCUAUAUAUAGAACUAGGUUAGAAUACUAUCAAUAGCACCAAACUAUUGAUGCUAUUAGGUUUUCAACGCUUGGAUGAAAAAAUGUACGGUUACAAUGAUGUGGGUCCUCUAAGGUUGAGUGAGUUAUUGGUUGAGUAGUAUAAUUUAACGGAUAAACAUAGUCAAAGAAUUAAAUCUAACGGCAGAAAACUCGAUAAUACCAAGCACUUGGUGGUAUCGAUAGUAUCCCAGCCAGACUCUAUAUAUAACUCGGCUGGGAUACUAUAGUCCGGCUGGGAUACUAUCGGUAGCACCAAGUGCUUGGUGCUACCGAUAGUAUCCUAGCCGGACUCUAUAUAUAGAACUAUGCUAGAAUACUAUCAAUAGCACCAAGCUAUUGAUGCUAUUAGGUUUUCGGCCCUUGGAUGGAAAAAUAUACGGUUACGAUGAUGUGAGCCCUCUAUGGUUGUGUGAGUUUUUGAUUGAAUAGUAUAAGCUAACGGAUAAAAAUAGCCAAAAGGUUAAAUCUAACGGCAGAAAACUCGGUAGCACCAAGCACUUGGUACUAUCGAUAAUAUUCCAGCCGGUUGCGUGAGUUUUUGAUCGUACUCAUAAGUAGUUUUCGAUGAUAGAGCUUCCUAAUUGACGAUCCACACCGUUAAACGUUAUAUAGAGCAUUUAAAACGUCUAGAAAUCAAAUUUUAUUAUUUUUUGAUAUCAUUUACCUUGCGAUCAAAAGGUCACAAAAUUGACAAUUUUUAACGGUCGGUAUGGGAUACUUUCUAGUUUAACGGUGUAAAAGAAUUGGAAUAUGUUGAAUUUUUGAUAGAAAAUUCUAUUCAAUAUACCUAGAUAAAGAUCAAUAACUCCGAUCUUAAAUUGAAGGAUCCGAUCAUCCAUUUUUAGGAUGUCGUUCGAUUUUGACCGUUCACUUUAUGCCCGUUUGAUGGACUUUAUUAUGAUCUCGAAAAAUUACGAAAUUUAUUUUUUAGAAAUUUCAAAUACUCUAGAUCAUAUUUAACGGAGUUGAUCGUCGAUUCAGAAGUCCUAUCAUCGAAAACAAC